rnacentral:rRNA from 1 species
UACGUAGGUGGCAAGCGUUGUCCGGAUUUACUGGGCGUAAAGAGCGCGCAGGCGGUCGUUCAAGUCGCGUGUGAAAGCCCCCCGGCUCAACUGGGGAGGGUCACGCGAUACUGAUCGACUGGAAGGCAGGAGAGGGUAGUGGAAUUCCCGGUGUAGUGGUGAAAUGCGUAGAUAUCGGGAGGAACACCAGUGGCGAAGGCGACUACCUGGCCUGUUCUUGACGCUGAGGCGCGAAAGCUAGGGGAGCAAACGGGG